ACCUUGGCCAGUCCUCCUCCUCAGCCUCAGUUUCUCCGUGCCCAGGAAUAACUCCCUUCUGGGACCCUGGGAGGGAGCAUUUUCUUGGAGUUUGGCUGGGUUGGGGAAUGGGAUGGAGAACUCCUGUCUCCUGCAGUUGGGGAUUAGUGUAAGCUCGGGCUGGGGUGGUGGGCAGACUGCCCUAGAGAUGGGUGAAGACGAUCAGGGCUGCUUCUCCUGUACCCAGCUGGCCCUGUGCCACUUGGGAGGUCUGCCAAUGAGUCACUCUCAGGUUUGGGUGCUGUUGUCCUGGUUCUCAAAAGCCUCAGGCCUCAGCCAGGUUCUUACCGGUCCCAGCUACUUGUCAGGGCUUCCCACUGUCUGAUCCAGAUGGGGGCCAGAACCUUGGCCCAGAAGGCUGGUCAGGAGCACCCCAAGGCUGGGGCGUCCGGCUGCAGAUGCAAUGAGCCUAGUUGGCGGUGUGCACAGCUUGGAUAAAUUAAUUUCUUAUAUCAUGAUGUGGACUUCCCCUGGGGUCUCCCCAAGAACACACAUGGAAGACGGCGACUUCACUACAUUUCCCAAGUCAGUUACCCAGUGCUGUUGCUGUGGGCACCGGAGUCCUUCUCCCACAUCUUCCUCUCGCUGUCCUGGAACUUGCUAUGUAAACCAGACUGACCUGAAAUUUAAAGAUCCUCUGCCUCCUGAAUGCAGGAAAUAAAGGCGUGCGUCACCACACCCAUCCAUAACUUCUCUUCCUUGAUUGUCUCUGGUGUUCAACUCCUAAGAAUAAAGAAUCAGUAAUGUGCCUGUCUUGCA